AAACUGCGAUAAGUAGUGUGAAUUGCAUUUAGUGAAUCAUCGAAUCUUUGAACGCACCCCGCACUCACUGGUAUUCCGGUGAGUACGCCUGUUUCAGUAUCAUUGAAAACACACAAUCAAAACAUUUUCUUUGGUUUGAUUGGCUUUGGGUCUAUCAAAAAGUUUGGCUUGUUUCUUACAAGCCAAGCGGCCUGAAAUAUAUUGUCUGGCUAAUUGCAUCGUUGAUGAUCGCUAUUAGACUUUGGCUUUUUUAAAUGAACUGGAGGUUGAUUAACCAGUUUUAGCUUUAGUCAAAUGGUCAUUGUAAAAAAAAUCUCGAUCUUGGCUAGGUGUUUAUAGCCGAAAAUUUUUUUUUGGCUAUAACCGAAACCAAUAUAAUCACAUUUAGUUAUCGAUCUGAAAUCAGGUGGGACUACCCGCUGAACUUAAGC
rnacentral:misc_RNA from 1 species